CGUCGCCCUAUGGGACUCCCAAUCCCGGCCGGUUGUGAUACAGCCUGGAUUCGACCCAGGGACUGUAGUGAAGCCUCUAGCACUGAAAUGCAGUGCCUUAGAUUGAUGCGCCACUCGGGAACCCGAGAAGGUGCGUCACUUGCCACCAACAGAUGGUGGCGAGGAACGAUGACAAGAGCAAUUAAUUAAUCAAUUAAGGAAAUGCUAUUUAAAUUUAAAGGUCAACAGGAGUUCUCCCUAUGAGCACAAGACGUUGAAAAUAUAUUUUUGGGGUUGAAAAGACUUAAAAAGACAUUGAAAAACAAGACAUCUUUCAACCAUAUUUUGCUGGUAUUUCUCUUCCUCAAACACCAAGACAAUACCAUCAUCAUAAUCGAUUCUGUUGAAUGGUUUUCCUUUGAGCCCGUCCAUUGGGUAAACACCUGGUUUAACCAGUACCAUUCCGCAGGUUGUGUCUAUUAAUAUUCAUCAUUGUACAGGUAUAAAAACAUACGUACGCAAGUAUAAAAGCGAUGAUCACUGCCACAACUUCCUCUUUCAACACAGAUCUCAGAUCAACCAACGCAGUAACACAGGUCCAAUGGCAGCCAUGGUGAAAUCUGAGCCUCUUGAUGGCAAUGGUGAUUCACUGUCAGAUCAAAAGAGUAAGAAGAUGAAGAUAACUGAGCCUAAUGAUAGCAUG